AUCUGUCUAUAGCAUCUGUCUAUAAGCUUCAUUCUAUGUGAACUUUACAAGAACCCUCUACCCCCGAGUUUCUCUUUCCUUUGGGAGAAGAGUUCUCUCUCCUAAUUUGUUUAUCAAACUAAGGUCAGUAAUAUGCACUUUAGGUUAUUGGUUCUUGGUUUUGCUAUUUAAAAGACUGUGUCUCAACUGCCAUCUCAUAAAGGUCACAGAAAUCUUAAUAUACUUCUAAAACAAGAGGACCAAAAGGCUCGGCUUUCAAGAGAAGUUAAAAUGUGGUGAGGCAAAUUGCAUAAAAUCAGUGGCCUGUGUCUCUCUAAGAAUUAUUUAAUGUUGAACCUACCAGUUAAAAAAUCAAAGGAUCUCUCUGGGGUCAGCGGUGAAAUACGCAAGGGGUUUGCAAAGAGCUCUUCUGAGAAGAGCAGGAGGACAGGAGAGGAAGAGUCACACGCCCUGGAGGGACAGGGGCUCCGAUGAUGUGGACCUGGUGCAGGGCACUGGGGGACAGAGCAACCUGGCUUCCUAAAGAGGCAUGCGUGUGUGUGUCUGUGUGUGUGUAUCUGUGUGUGUGUCUCUGUGUGUAUCCCGGUGUGUCCCUGUGUGUGUAUCUGUGUCUCUGAGCUCCCUGAAGGAGUCACAGCUGUCCUCCCAGGGUGGCUGGACCACAUGCCCUCAUGCUGGGGGCCCCCCAUGGCUCGGGCUAGAGACCACCACACCGUGGAGGUGACAGCACCUAAUAUUUCUCCAAAGCACAGGAACCUUCACAAAAGCUUUCUGCUUAAAAGGUGAGGUUAGCCAAGGCGGGGGAGUGAUGUUGUUUACGUCAGCUGUGGUUUGAUCACAGUUCCUUCGAGUUCUUUAUGGGUCGUCCUUUGGGGCGCCUGGGGCGGGGGGGUCCAAAAGGAAGAGCCCUUCUUAGGAAAAAUCUUCAUUCCUCUUAAAUCCCGGGGACUGCACCUCUCCUUUCUCGAAGCCCACAGACAGCUGGUGCUCGCAGCUGAUGCUCGCAGAGGAGCCCUCACUUCUGUGGCCGCUCACGUCGCCUUCCUCACGUUUCGUACGGAGCGUGGCAGCUCUCUCGUGGUCAUGGAAAGGUCUGUUUUACGAGUUUUCCUCUUCUGCUCCUCGACGUCUGGAACUGCGUUUUACUUGUCUAGGUAUCCAGCAGGUCCUAGGCCUCACCAGGCACGUAUUAGGUCUUUAAAAAUGCCUGUGUCACAGGGAAUGGAUGGAUGGGUGCAUGGACAGGUGACGCUUCGCCCACGACUCUGAGCAGUGCCCUUCGCAGAAGACGAAUUGGAGCACGUGACUCGUAAAACGAAAAAUCAGGAAUCCCUAUACUUUAUCUUCUCUCUUCCUUUCCACGCUCACUUACCCUCCUUUGGUCCCCCGUGUUUCCUCCUCAGACCACUUUCCUUCUUCUUCGUGCUCAGGCCAACGUCCCUCCUAGUCUUGUCUUCUGAUUCCCAUUGGCCAGGGCACAAGGAGCAUCUUCUCUCUGCCGUGCGCUGAAAAGAGGUAUCAUUUCUCCCUCCCCAGGGAGCUGGUGUGUGUGUGUGUGUGUGUGUGUGUGUGUGUGUGUGUGUACCUCUGCACACUUGCUACUGGGAGAACAUCUGGGAGACAGAACACUUUAAGUGCUUCUAUUUCAGAUCAAGAAUCUUGAUUAACAACAAACCAUAUAUCGCUAAGGGUGAAAUUAUAUGGUACAGAUUAUACACAUGUUGGAGCCUCAGAGAAAAAAACCUUUCAGGUGAGGGAACUUGAGAAUGCCCUCGUAAGAUGGGGGAAUGGAGUUGAAACUUGAAUGAAAAUAGAAAAGGGUCUUGAAAGUUAACUUUUAAAGAAUUUUUUAAUCCAGUACUAUUUCACUAUUUUGGACCCAAUUAUCAGGAUUCUUAAGUAAGUUUAUCACGCGUUCUCCGAAUGGGUCCAGGGGAGAAGUGAUUGACAGGACAGAGGGACGACUGAAUCCACAGUGGAGACCUCGCCGCCUAAGGAAGGAUGGAGGAGCACACAGGUGAAGGGAGAAAAGAAGUGAAACGCUUUCAGCACCCACGUUUCAGGUCAAAGUGACAUUUUAUUUCUUCGCCCCCACUGCCUAACAGGGUAGGGAUUAUUUCUCGCAUGUUACAGAUGAGGAACUGAAUUCAGGCAGGUGCCCAAGGCUACACGGUGCUUCCUGGCGGAAUGAGGAAUCUAGCUGGAGUCUGGCUUCCUCAAAACCCCUGGCCCCUGUAAACCUGCUGCCUCCAGCCCAGCUCAAAUCAUUGAUAUUCUGAUUGCAGCUCAUCAUAAACGGUAUUUACUCAAGUCCCACUGCUAAGGAUUAUUGAAGGAGAGGAAAAGAUCUUUUGAAAAUACCCUGUAACUCACAUUUUACCUGCCAGAUGGAACAGCCACAUUCCUGCAAAAAGGCAAGGUCUUACUCUCUGUGUAUGUUUCAUUCCAGGAAAAGGGAAGGUCCCCAGCCCGCUUCGCUGGGCGUGAAAUCCAUCCGUGGAUGCAGAGACACACACCAUCUCUCUUUUGCACCAAGCUCCGUAUCUCUUUGGUGUCUGGCUAACUAGAAGACCACUGGAUUCUGGCAUCGGAUUCUGCCUUGCAAAUUUCUGGCAACAGGUGUUUGGUUGAAGUAUAUACUAAAAAAAACUGAAGCCUCACAUAGAUCGUUAGUAGGGAGAGGCAUGUUUUUAGCAGGCUUUGUAGGCAAUUGGGGCUAUUCUUCUUUGAUUCUUUUUUCGGGGGGUAUAUUUCUUAGGAUGUUGACUUCAGAACAGAUUGGGUGUUUAUAACUGCGCCGUUAACACAUAGAUAUUAAUCGUGUAAAAUGCCAUUACGGCGAAUAAAACCACAGUCAUGAUUGCUC
rnacentral:lncRNA from 1 species